UACGGGGGGGCAAGCGUUGUUCGGAAUUACUGGGCGUAAAGGGCUCGUAGGCGGCCAACUAAGUCAGACGUGAAAUCCCCAGGCUCAACCUGGGAACUGCGUCUGAUACUGAUUGGCUUGAAUCCGGGAGAGGGAUGCAGAAUUCCAGGUGUAGCGGUGAAAUGCGUAGAUAUCUGGAGGAAUACCGGUGGCGAAGGCGGCAUCCUGGACCGGCAUUGACGCUGAGGAGCGAAAGCCAGGGGAGCAAACGGG
rnacentral:rRNA from 1 species